GACAGAGGUGCCGAGCGUUAGGCGGAAUCACUGGGCUUAAAGCGUGUGUAGGCGGUCCACUAAGUCGGCUGUGAAAGUCCAGGGCUCAACCCUGGGAUGCCGGUCGAUACUGGUGGACUAGAGUCCGGAAGAGGCGAGUGGAAUUCCCGGUGUAGCGGUGAAAUGCGCAGAUAUCGGGAGGAACGCCCGUGGCGAAGGCGACUACCUGGCCUGUUCUUGACGCUGAGGCGCGAAAGCUAGGGGAGCAAACGGGGAUUAAGAUACCCCUGU
rnacentral:rRNA from 1 species